UCUCAGGCUGUGACCUUCUCGAGG
rnacentral:miRNA from 1 species